rnacentral:rRNA from 1 species
UACGUAGGGUGCGAGCGUUGUCCGGAUUUAUUGGGCGUAAAGGGCUCGUAGGCGGUUUGUCACGUCGGAUGUGAAAACCCGAGGCUUAACCUCGGGCCUGCAUUCGAUACGGGCUGACUAGAGUUCGGUAGGGGAGACUGGAAUUCCUGGUGUAGCGGUGAAAUGCGCAGAUAUCAGGAGGAACACCGGUGGCGAAGGCGGGUCUCUGGGCCGAUACUGACGCUGAGGAGCGAAAGCGUGGGGAGCGAACAGG